GGAUCGAGACUUCAGUUGAGAGAGAGAGACAGCGAGAGAGAGAGAGAGAGAGAGGAUGCGAAUCACUGCUGAGAUGGAUAUCAGAAAGUUAUUCGCCCGCAGCAGGGAAGAAGCAGAGAGGAAUGAGAGAUGAUGCGUCAUGUGACUGAGUGGGGAACCAGUGUACAUCACACUCAAAGUGAACAUGAUGUCAUGUGACUGAGUGGGGACCAGUGUACAUCCCGCCCAAAGUGAACAUGAUGUCCUGUGACUGAGUGGGGACCAGUGUACAUCCCACCCAAAGUGAACAUGAUGUCCUGUGACUGAGUGGGGACCAGUGUACAUCACACCCAAAGUGAACAUGAUGUCAUGUGACUGGGGCACCAGUGUACAUCACACUCAAAGUGAACAUGAUGUCAUGUGACUGAGUGGGGACCUGUGUACAUCACACCCAAAGUGAACAUGAUGUCAUGUGACUGAGUGAGGACCAGUGUACAUCACACCCAAAGUGAACAUGAUGUCUUGUGACUGAGUGGGGACCAUUGGACCAAAGUCAGUGGAGAAACCUUCCAUGUGUCUGAUACGGAACUAGUGGACCACAGUCAGUGGAGAUACCUUCCAUGCGGCUAAGUGGGGACCAGUGGACCAAAGUCAGUGGAGAUACCUUCCAUGUGACUGAGUGGGGACCAGUGGAGAUACCUUCCAUGUGACUGAGUGGGGACCAGUGGACCAAAGUCAGUGGAGAUACCUUCCAUGUGACUUGAGUGGGGACCAGUGGAGAUACUUUCCAUGUGACUGAGUGGGGACCAGUGGACCACAGUCACUGUAGAUACCUUUCAUGUGACUGAGUGGGGACCAGUGGAUAUACCUUCCAUGAGACUGAGUAGGGACCAGUGGAGAUACUUUCCAUGUGAAUGAGUAGGGACCAGAGAAGAUAUCUUCCAUGUGACUGAGUAGGGACCUGUGGAUAUGCCUUCCAUGUGACUAAGUAGGGACCAGUGGACCAAAGUCAGUGGAGAUACCUUCCAUGAGUGGGGACCAGUGGAGAUACCUUCCAUGUGACUAAGUGGGGACCAGUAGACCAAAUUUGGAGGAGAUAUCUUCUAUGUGACUGAGUGGGGACCAGUGGACCACAGUCAGUGGAGAUACCUUCCAUUUGACUGAGUGUGGACCAGUGGAGAUAUUUUCAAUGUGACUGAGUGGGGACCAGUGGACCGCAGUCAGUGGCGAUACCUUCCAUGUGACUGAGUGGGGACCAGUGGACCACAGUCAGUGAAGAUACCUUCCAAGUGACUGAGUGGGGACCAAUGGACCACAGUCAGUGGAGAUACCUUCCAUGUGACAGAGUAGGGACCAGUGGAGAAACUUUCCAUGUGAAUGAGUUGGGACCAGUGGAGAUACAUUCCAUGUGAGUCAGCAAUUAUGACGAAGACAUGAAAUAAAAACAUUGUUUACAAAGUCACACAUGAUUUAUAUUUGUGUACUUCUGAACAAAUACAAGUUCUUGAAGGAGCCCUUUAUUCAAAUGUUGACAGGCUGCGCUCAUGAUAAUCAA